AAAAAUGGCCCAGCACGAGCAGAAGUGGCUCCAUUCAGACACACUUCAGGCAUAAUCCAUUCUGAAGUGAAAACCCUAAAAAAAAACAUUUCCUUCUUUUUAUCAAUGUUUUUAUCACAUUUUAACCCAUAAAACAUACCAUUUUUUUCUCUUUCUUAGUAUUUUUACCACAUUUUAUCCCCAAGGAAUGGCUCUGCCAAACCAAAAACCCUCUGAAAAAAUGGCCCAGCACGAGCAGCAGUGGCUCCAUUCACACACACUUCAGGCAUAAUCCAUUCUGAAGUAAAAGCCCUAAAA